UUCAGGAUUUUUAUUAUUUAAAAAGGUAUUCUUUUUGGAAAGUCCGAUACGAGUUAAAGAUAAUAGAAUAAAAUCUAUUCUGUAAAAAUAGAAGACAUUUAGAAGAAACUAAAAUCUCUAUCUUUAGAUGGAGUUAAGCGAGCCUAUUAAUCUUAUCUUCGUUAUUUACUAAACUAAGUAAUAUUUAAAUUGCUUGGUAUUCAAGUUAAUUUCAAUAGAUAAUUAAAUAAUUAAUAAACAGAAUUCGGCUUAUUAAAAUCUGAAAA
rnacentral:RNase_P_RNA from 1 species